rnacentral:rRNA from 1 species
UGGGGAAUUUUCCGCAAUGGGCGAAAGCCUGACGGAGCAAUACCGCGUGAAGGAAGACGGCCUAUGGGUUGUAAACUUCUUUUUUCAGGGGGGAAUUCAAUGACGUGUACCUGAAGAAUAAGCAUCGGCUAACUCCGUGCCAGCAGCCGCGGUAAUACGGAGGAUGCAAGCGUUAUCCGGAAUGAUUGGGCGUAAAGGGUCCGCAGGUGGCAUUGUAUGUCUGCUGUUAAAGAGUCUGGCUCAACCAGAUCAAAGCAGUGGAAACUACAAAGCUAGAGUAUGGUCGGGGCAGAGGGAAUUCCUGGUGUAGCGGUGAAAUGCGUAGAUAUCAGGAAGAACACCGGUGGCGAAGGCGCUCUGCUAGGCCAAAACUGACACUGAGGGACGAAAGCUAGGGGAGCGAAUGGGAUUAGAUACCCCAGUAGUCCUAGCCGUAAACGAUGGAUACUAGGUGUAGCUCGUAUCGACCCGAGCUGUACCGUAGCUAACGCGUUAAGUAUCCCGCCUGGGGAGUACGCAGGCAACUGUG